UACAGAGGGGCAAGCGUUGUUCGGAAUUACUGGGCGUAAAGGGCGCGUAGGCGGCCUGUUAAGUCGAACGUGAAAUCCCCGGGCUCAACCCGGGAACUGCGUCCAAUACUGGCAGGCUUGAAUCCGGGAGAGGGAUGCGGAAUUCCUGGUGUAGCGGUGAAAUGCGCAGAUAUCAGGAAGAACACCCGUGGCUAAGGCGGCUCUCUAGUACGGUACUGACGCUGAGACGCGAAAGCGUGGGGAGCGAACAGG
rnacentral:rRNA from 1 species